GCCAAAGUGGCGCAGUUGGUAGCGCGUCGCAUUCGUAAUGCGUAGGUCGAGGGUUCGAGUCCCUUCUUUGGCU
rfam:Lachnospiraceae bacterium A2 genomic scaffold acPFL-supercont1.1, whole genome shotgun sequence.